AAACUAAAAAAAAAAAAAACAAAAAAAAAAAACCUUAAAAAAAAAGGAAAACCAUUUCUCUCAAGUCUAAAUUCUUGGGUCCAUGUGCUAAAGAUAAAAUGAAUUUCAAUUGCUAGUGGAAAAAAUCAGCAAUUGUAUGACUUUUGCAAGAGCUAGUUUCUUAAACGGAAAUUGAGUCCUAUUUUGUGGGAAAUUAGUUUUGCAGACUUUCUUUAAAAAAAAAAAUCUAAAACUUUUGUUCAGCAGCUGCUCCGCUCUUCACUGCAGUUUCAGACUGAGCUGGAACCUGCAGCAGUCUUUCGACGGACUUUUGUAGUCUUUCUGAUUUUUUACGUUGGAGACUGAAAGAACCACCUUCCUGAAUAUUUAUCAGAAUGUCCUUUCAAUCUUAUGGAAAUGGAACUGUAAAACCAAAUGAAAACAGCAGUUCAGAAGUACUCUCUGGGCCAAGACAAAACCAGCCUGGAUUCUCUCACCCUUACUCACAGUGAACAGUAGGCUACUCUGUAAAUAGUUCUCAUUAUUUAAAUAUGAAUAAAGGUCACCCAAUCUGGUGCUUAGGGAUUACAUAAUAAUUUUUUUAUCUGUAUUCUCUCAACAUUUUAGAAAAUAUGCACAACUCACUCAUUCUGGUUUCACAGUUGAGAAGCUGGUGCAGAGCUAGAUCAAAUGAGUUAUCCCAUACCCUUCAACAAGGCAAAGGAAGCCAGAAAUAGAACCUCAUUUAUUUUUCUGAAAGGAUUUCAAUGGAACAGGGUAGCAUUCUAUUAGAUUUUCUUUCUGUUUCUGCACCAUUUCCAGAAAGCUUUAUUUCUAAGAAAAGAUGCCUACUGUAUCUGUUUUUAUUAGCCAUUUCUUAGACCGUCAGUGAUGCUUUCUGAUCCAAACAAACUCUUAUUCCAAAUGCAGAAGAAAAAAAAUUACCACAGGUAGCAAAUCUAUGAAUCUGAAUGAUUUAAGGCUUUCAUGCAGAUUAAUGGAGUGUUUUAUUCUAUUUCCCAGAAUUUAUGUGUUUGUUUUCUCAUAAUAAAGGAAGUUUCUAGCUUCUGGUUGUGAAGAUAGCCUUGACAAUGUAAACCAACAUACUUUCAUCUUGUUGAGUCCUCAUCCUCACCAGCUGAAACAAUAGCAUCAAGCAAGUUAACUUCCCCCAUUCAUCUUGCCAGGGUGUCAGCCUUGAAGCAAAACAUGCACACUUAAGUACCAACACAGUUAACCAAUUCACUGCUUAUUAGCAGAUUAGAAGUUACUAGUCAGCACAAUUAGACAGUGGGCAGACACUUGUGAUGUUCUUGGCAUGCAAUCACUUGAAAAAGUUGAGUACACUAUUGAUAGGAAAAUAGAGAACAGUCUACUAAUUUUAAAAUGUAUUUUUCUAGAAUAAAUAUCUACA